rnacentral:rRNA from 1 species
CAGCCGCGGUAAUUCCAGCUCCAUAGCGUAUAUUAAAGUUGUUGCAGUUAAAAAGCUCGUAGUUGAAUUUCGGGAUCAAUAUUUCGGUCAUGCCGUUGGUAUGCACUGUUAUCAUUGAUUUCUCACCUUCUAAAGAACCGUAAUGCCAUUAAUUUGGUGUUACGGGGAAUUAGGACUGUUACCUUGAAAAAAAUUAGAGUGUUUAAAGCAGGCUCACGCUUGAAUACAUUAGCAUGGAAUAAAUGAAAUAGGGCAUCCGAUUCUAUUUUGUUGGUUUCUAGGAUCGAUGUAAUGAUUAAAUAGGGAUAGUUGGGGCGAUUAAGUAUUCAAUUGUCAGAGGUGAAAUUCUUGGAUUUAAUUGAAGACUAAACUACUGCGAAAGCAUUUGCCAAGGAUGUUUUCAUUAAUUCAAGAACGAAAAGUUAGGGAGUCGAAGACGAUCAGAUACCGUCGUAGUCUUAACCCCAUAAACUAUGCCGACUAGGGGAUCGGAUGAUGUUAAUUUUUAUAAUGACUCAUUCGGCACCUUACGGGAAAC